rnacentral:rRNA from 1 species
UACGAAGGGGGCUAGCGUUGCUCGGAAUCACUGGGCGUAAAGCGCACGUAGGCGGCUUUUAAGUCAGGGGUGAAAUCCUGGAGCUCAACUCCAGAACUGCCUUUGAUACUGAGAAGCUUGAGUCCGGGAGAGGUGAGUGGAACUGCGAGUGUAGAGGUGAAAUUCGUAGAUAUUCGCAAGAACACCAGUGGCGAAGGCGGCUCACUGGCCCGAUACUGACGCUGAGGCACGAAAGCGUGGGGAGCAAACAGG